CAGAAACGAGAAAACUAUUCAGGUGCACGCUAGGGCUUUUUAGAUCUCGCAGCUUGCGGGCAGGGUCCGGCGACUUCCCCUGUUUCAGUGUCCAUCGUGUGGCAGUUCACCGUAGCGAACUGCAAGAAUUAUUCUCGCAGGACUCUGACGGCGCAGCAUGCGGAAGGUUGUUUUGGUACCGGCGGUGGCUGCGCAUCAGGGGGCUUCGCGGCCGCCGCUUACAAUUGUGCUUGACGACAACUACCAUCCGGAGCCAAGCGUGGAGUUCUCAAGUCAAUGAUCUGAACAAUCGAUGAUAUGAAUAAAGAAUGCUAUUUGAUGGCGCUAGCGUGCUGCAUGUGGCUUAUUUAUCUGGGGGCAAAACUCUGUAAUGAUCUGUGCCAUCAGAAUGCACGAUUAUGUUGGACAUAAAGCCGAGCUGUGCGAGUGAAAGCAUAAUAUAUUAAGCAUACUACAAUUGCAAUUAUUUAUGUGCUAUUAGCAGUGCAAUUCAGAGCUAUGACUGAAAUAUUUUGUGUGAAGAAGAUCCUUCCUCUAGGGCAUAGGGAAGUAUUCAGUUAGCUCAAAAUUGAGCUAAUCAACAUCAUAUUUAAACGAACAGAGGGAUCAAAUAUGAAAUUUGCAGCUGUUGGAGAUUAUCGCUUAUUGUAUAGCUGAAAGGUUGGAGAUUAAAUUGAGAAGUCAAAGAAGCAAGAAGAUGUUUUGCUGAAUGGUUUUGGUUCCCUGGUUCAGUCUCUCCGAGUCGAACAAGCUGGUCUUUCUUUUUCAUGGCUGAUGAACGUCGAAACUGCUGAUCACGUCAAGAACACGAAGAUCACAUUGGAUUGGACAAGUUUACUUCACAAUUGUGCUAUUUGUUGUACAGUAGGAUAUACGUUUCCUACUUGGUUGAUUUUAGUAACAAAAUAUGUAG